AGCAAAUUCAAUCAACAUGACCAAACAGGACACAUCAUUUUGCUGGAAAAGAUCCAGUCCUAUUUACAAAAACUAAUCCCAAACUCCUUCAAUCACAUUUUUUCGCCGCGUUUUAGCUGGUGUUUCUGUUUGAUUGAGAGUAACCUCUCUUGUAUCACUAUGGUUUUCAUUUUUGCGUUUCUUCGAGCUUUUGCAAUUAUGGAAUGAAGUCAGUUCCUCCACUUUCACCUUAGUAACAUCAGUCCUCACACCAAUGUCAGUUGCAUACCUGGUCAAACAAUACAUUCCAACAGUUGCUACGACUAAGCCAGCUGGACUUGUCAUGAAUAACUUCAGAGGCGACGAGGCAAUAGCUGCCAAAGGAGCACCUAUGACAGAGGCAGCUUGACCGCUCCUUCCAAGAGCUCCUUGGUCAAGAACAAGAAGACCUGUUUUGCAGUACAAGGCAAAAUCUUCACAGUUGUUCUUGAAGACAUCAUAAUUUCCAAAACCAUUUUGAAGCAAGUACAUGGCUCUAUGGAUCACUGCCUCUGGAGGAUCAGAUUGUGCAGUGGUGCAUGUCCCACCUCGAAGUUUAGUAAGAAAAACUGAAGGGCUGGUUCCAUAGUCAAAGCGGUACAAUAGCCCCUCCUCACCCAGGAAACAAUCCAAGCAAGAGAGAACCACACCACUUGCCUUUUGUUGAAAUCCACAGUCAGGAAUAUUCGUACAGGUUGAAGACACGUUUGUACUCGAAGCUGAAGAGCAAUUUAAGGGAGCAGAGAAGAGAAUUUGGUCCCCUGAAACAAUACUUUGGUCACGCGUAAAAUGAACAACUUUGCUUCCACCAACAUAGAUUCCGUGAUGAGAGUAAGCGAAGACAGUUCUCCAAGAGUAGAUAUGGUCACCUGAUGCUAUCUCGCUCCUUUCUAUUUUGUGAGUGAGCAGACCCAUCUCUUUCCCUCUCUGCAAUCGCCAGAGUUUGAUGAAAAUGCCGAUGAUUAUUCGAAUAUUCUACGUGAGGCUCGCUU
rnacentral:misc_RNA from 1 species